AAACACAGUUUUGUAACUGAAAAAUAGAGGAUAACCGACAGAUGCGAAACUGCCAGAUUGUGUCCCUGAGGCUCUCAGAAAUCUGUCAGCUUGCAAGGAGAACACAAAAGCAGCUUCAAAGAGAACGUAGGUGACCACAGCCUCUGACGUCUUGCAGGUUGGCACAGACUUCUGAGGGCCUGCUGUGUAUCUCUCCGCCUUGUUCCGGGCAAGGCCUCUCUUCCCUGCUACAGGAGCAGUCUGACCAAGGAAAUCAUGGAGCUCACCUCCCCUUAGUCAAGACCCACCC